UACGUAGGGGGCAAGCGUUGUCCGGAUUUAUUGGGCGUAAAGAGCGUGUAGGCGGUUCGGUAAGUCUGUCGUGAAAUCCUGAGGCUCAACCUCGGACGUGCGAUGGAUACUGCCGGGCUAGAGGAUGGUAGAGGCGAGUGGAAUUCCCGGUGUAGCGGUGAAAUGCGUUGAUAUCGGAAGGAACGCCGGUGGCGAAAGCGACACACUGGACCUCUUCUGACGCUGAGGCGCGAAAGCCAGGGGAGCAAACGGG
rnacentral:rRNA from 1 species